rnacentral:rRNA from 1 species
UGGCGCUGCUACACAUGCAGUCGAACGGUGAAAGCGGAGCUUGCUCCGCUGGAUCAGUGGCGAACGGGCGAUUAACACGUGGGCAACCUGCCCUUCACUCUGGGAUAACUCCGGGAAACCGGGGCUAAUACCGGAUACGACCUCCUUGGGCAUCCUUGGAGGUGGAAAGUUUUUCGGUGAAGGAUGGGCCCGCGGCCUAUCAGCUUGUUGGUGAGGUAGUGGCUCACCAAGGCGACGACGGGUAGCCGGCCUGAGAGGGCGACCGGCCACACUGGGACUGAGACACGGCCCAGACUCCUACGGGAGGCAGCAGUGGGGAAUAUUGCGCAAUGGGCGAAAGCCUGACGCGGCAACGCCGCGUGCGGGAUGACGGCCUUCGGGUUGUAAACCGCUUUCAGCAGGGAAGAAGCCGCAAGGUGACGGUACCUGCAGAAGAAGCACCGGCUAACUACGUGCCAGCAGCCGCGGUAAUACGUAGGGUGCAAGCGUUGUCCGGAUUUAUUGGGCGUAAAGAGCUCGUAGGCGGUCUGUUGCGUCGGUUGUGAAAACUCGGGGCUUAACCCCGAGCCUGCAUCCGAUACGGGCAGACUUGAGUGUGGUAGGGGAGACUGGAAUUCCUGGUGUAGCGGUGAAAUGCGCAGAUAUCAGGAGGAACACCGAUGGCGAAGGCAGGUCUCUGGGCCACAACUGACGCUGAGGAGCGAAAGCGCGGGGAGCGAACAGGAUUAGAUACCCUGGUAGUCCGCGCCGUAAACGAUGGGCACUAGCUGUGAGAGCCUUCC